rnacentral:rRNA from 1 species
AUUGAACUCUGCCGGCAGGCCUAGCACAUGCAAGUCGAGCGGAGCGGCGGACGGGUGAGUAAUGCCUAGGAAUCUGCCUGGUAGUGGGGGAUAACGUCCGGAAACGGGCGCUAAUACCGCAUACUAUCAGAUGAGCCUAGGUCGGAUUAGCGAGUUGGUGGGGUAAAGGCCUACCAAGGCGACGAGCCCUAGCUGGUCUGAGAGGAUGACCAGCCACACUGGAACUGAGACACGGUCCAGACUCCUACGGGAGGCAGCGGUGGGGAAUAUUGCACAAUGGGCGCAAGACUGAUUCAGCCAUGCCGCGUGUAGGAAGAAGGCCUGAGGGUUGUAAAGUACUUUCAGCGGGGAGGCGUUACCCGCAGAAGAAGCACCGGCUAACUCCGUGCCAGCAGCCGCGGUAAUAC